rnacentral:rRNA from 1 species
CCUACGGGAGACUGCAGUGAGGAAUAUUGGUCAAUGGGCUUACGCCUGAACCAGCCAAGUCGCGUGAGGGAAGACUGCCCUAUGGGUUGUAAACCUCUUUUGUCAGGGAGCAACGCCGGCUACGUGUAGCCGGACUGAGAGUACCUGCAGAAAAAGCAUCGGCUAACUCCGUGCCAGCAGCCGCGUUAAUACGGAGGAUGCGAGCGUUAUCCGGAUUUAUUGGGUUUAAAGGGUGCGUAGGCGGAAUGCCAAGUCAGCGGUAAAAUCGCGGGGCUCAACCUCGCUCCGCCGUUGAAACUGGCGUUCUUGAGUGGGCGAGAGGUAUGCGGAAUGCGUGGUGUAGCGGUGAAAUGCAUAGAUAUCACGCAGAACUCCGAUUGCGAAGGCAGCAUACCGGCGCCCAACUGAUGCUGAGGCACGAAAGCGUGGGUAGCGAACAGGAUUAGAUACCCUUGUAGUC